GACCCAAAAGGUAGUCCGGUUCA
rnacentral:siRNA from 1 species